UUGGCCUUGCCCUCCAGCAGAUCGUCGACGCGCACAUGCCUUCGUCUUCUUCCCUUCUUUCUUCCUUUGUCCGCGGAGUGCGAGCAGUAAUCGGCGAUCUGGUCCUGCGGAUGGCUACCAUCGAAACCAUGCUUCAGAAAUAGCACAGGCAGCCACGUUCAAGCGCGUACUCAGCGAUCUGUCAUGAGAGAUAGUAGAUGCAGUCAAGUUGGCGGCGAUGUUAGGCUGGACUCACAAGAUUGCUGAAGGGCAGUGCUUGCACCAGCGGAUGCACAAAUUGCUAUCCAUACAAAGGAGCCCAUCAAUUUCUAGGGCCUCAAGGAGUAUGGCACCCAAACCGCUGAAUUCAUUGACUACACGAAACGAGUCAUGGACCAUCAAAGUCAAAGUCUCAAAGUCUUACAACUUUAGGACACAAUUAACUUAUCAACUAAUGAACUCAUUAGCACUGAUAAGAUUUUGUGAGAUAAAAAGGUCCAAGUAUUACAUA